rnacentral:sRNA from 4 species
AUAUCUCUCUGUACGGGAAGGAUGAGAAGCUUCUACCAGGGUUCGAUUCGAGCGCAGCGAGAAAGCGUUGCCGCAGGCAACGACCCGAAGGGCGAAGCGCGCAGCGCUG